GUGAAUAAGGUUUAUUUGGAAAAAUUUAAAGAAGAAGAGUAGAAGAAUGAGUCGGCUAACCCAAAGGUGGAACAAAGAAAAUUGUGUAGAGAAAAAGAGGGAAAAUCGGCACAAAGAAAGAAAGUAAAACAAAGGGUUUUCAGCUUUUAGGAAGAAAGGUUUCUGACAACAAGGUGAAGGGAAUUCGGCAUUAGCCUGGCCACCC
rnacentral:lncRNA from 1 species